UUGGCCUAGGUAUGUUUACUUACUUGUAACAUGGAGGGUUGGAUGGCCAGAGAUCAAUCCACUUUGAGAGAGGAUGGGAGUAAUGCUUGAUGAAGUCUCUCCAGUAAUGAACACUGUCUGUUGAAUGGUUUAUGCUGGUGCCAUAUCUUACUGGCGUAUGAACAUCAUCGGAAACCAGAAGCAUCUUCUCAUCGGCUGUUUAUAUAGCUGAAAACAAGAAUAUUACCUGAAAGAAACCAAACUCCUUGCAAGCCAUUUCAAUCUCAUGGAUGACACUGGGUCGAAGCAGAGGAUCAUGUAAGAAGGAGAGAUCAAUGACAGGAAGAUUGAUGCUACCAGUGCCAAUGCUUGGACUGAGAACUGGUCGUUGUGAAGGCGGAAGAAUGUAACGGGUAGGCACGUGAGGGACACCUGACUCAGUGAGUGCCAUAGCACUAGUAAAGCAAUCACCAAGCACAUUUUUAUUUGUUUCCUCCAUUGCUUUUUGCUAGAAUCUGUUUUGGUACUUUAGGAUCUCACCUUGUCUUCCUACUUAUAGUAAGCAAGCAUGCAAAGCGUGUUUUUAUAUACACAUGAAGAUAACCUGGUCUUUAUUUUAAAAGGUCAUUGUUUCUUCUCUUCUAUUUGAAAACGGUUUUGGAAACUACCGGCUUGUGUUCAUAUACAUAAACAUUAAAUGAAUGGUUAGAUACUUCAUUCAAAUAAAGAAUUCUCAUUUGCUUUUUUGAGUUGCCACAUCAGAGCUUGAAAGGUAUUUGUGAAAGGUGUAUGACUAGUUGCAUUUUUUGCUUUUUAGAUUAAACUAUUAUUAUAUGAAAAGAGUCAUCAUGUUAACAGAUUCUUAUUUUUUUUCAUUUUUAAUAGGAAACCAUAAACAUCUCCUUUUUUGUGCAUAUACGUCAUCAGGAAGGUCGAGAAUUGGUACAAGUUCAUGGAGAUCAUUACACUACUAUAUGUGUAAUGUUGUCUUUUCUAGUGAGUAAUGGGUUUUGGAUUUAUAUGAAGGGAACAAAGAAGAUAAAGAGAGAGAGAGUGGUGAGAUUCAAUGGAAGGAGAAAUAUGGAAAUGCAAAAAAAAAUAAAGAAAAAAAUAAUAAGUGGUGACAAGUUGAGAGACAAAUACAACUUGGUGGCUCCAAUUAUAUGUCUUCACUCCUUGUUACAUAAUGAACCUUGA